rnacentral:snRNA from 1 species
GGGUGAUCUGGCUGAGACACCUGUCACCCCAUUGAUGGCCAGGGUCGAGCAGCUGAGCUGGCUGGCCAGGCGGGUGUGUCCUUCCUCCCUCUCCCAAAGCUGUAUGCUCCGGCGAAGAGGAUGACCUUCCCCACAUAGAGGAGGACUGUUCUUCCUGCAAGGUAUUCCAGUAGCCAUCCCCCCAACACUUCGAGAACCUCCAAACAAGCUCUCAAGAAUUACAAAGUUUCAAAGUUGCAUGAUUUGGUACAAUCUUAGUUUUUAAUUUGGAAGGACAAUCUGU